rnacentral:rRNA from 1 species
AUGAACAACGUACAUUCGCAGCAGCUACGGAGCGCAAUCCAAGCGAACAAGGUGGCUGAGCUAUGGCACGGUGUUGCAUUGUAUCGGCGUGUGGUGGCUGCUUAUGAUUUGAUUAGUACCACAUCGCCCGCGGAGGCCGCCUCGGAGCUGCCUAUAAGCCGGGUCCCGGCCAGAGCGUUCACCACGCGGCGAGCGUGGACGCGAAUAUGUAAGGAAAAGAUGUCAUUUGUUCUGUUACCCCCCUCGCAGAUUGUAAACGACAUGAAGUUCACUGUGAACCACGCGGUGGAGCCGAUCAAUGAGAAGAUCCACCAGAUAUCCCAGAACAUGAAGAAGCAUGAUAAGGAGAAGAGAACGAAUGACAACAACUGCAUCGACUCGCCAUGGUCCCUACACAGGGUGAUCAACGGAAUUGAUGAUCCACUCCUGAAUCGUCAACUCGGACUCCCCUCUUCUGACAAUGCCUCUGCUGCAUUGUCCCCGGCUUUGGGUGGCCCUAGGGCCGCCCUCCGAAGUGCGCCUCCUCUCCUCAUCGACUGA